CUCCUGAAAUUGGGCCUAAAGUCAAACCCAUUUGAGGUGUUUUUUUUCUCAGCAAGCUUGAACAUCAAAUCGGAAUUUGCUGAGACAUUUACCUCUGACCCUCAUGAUUUUUCAUACACUCAUCAACUUAUCUGUGAGUUCAACACUACUUAGCCCAAAACUCUGGGCCAUUUAAGGGAGCAGUUAACUAAUGAGUGAAAAUUAACAGACCUUGACUUAUGGAAUAAACAAAACAAACAAUUAAUCUAAAACAUUAGAACCAAAUGCAUACUAAAUUAUAACCUUCAAUGAAAACUGCUAGCUAUUUUCAUAAUCUCUCAUACAAUUGGGGAAGAAACCACUUCAAAAGAGUACUCAAACCUCGAGUGUGAGACUAAUUAAACUCAAUUCUGCUAAAGAAAUAUAAAAGAAUGAACAGAUUGCCAUGGUUCUACUUUGAGAUUUUACAAAGUUUUAACACUUAAGCAUGAAUUGCUAAAGUAUCUAUUAUAACAGAUCUAUUACACUUAAGAAAGAAGUAGAAAGAGAAAUGGACAAGAAGCUAAAUGACUUGAGCAAAAGAUGAAAACCAAACUUCUUACAAAUAGCAAUCUUUAUUGAACUUCAAUAGAAACAACACUUUUCAUACAAAAUUCACAUUCACAGCUUCAUUUGCCAUUCAAAGUUCAAAGAAAUACCUAGAACAAUGAGAAACAAACAACAAAAAAGUUUCAGCAGAGAGAUUAGAGUAUCAACAGCUUCUAAACAAAAGCUAAUAAUAGUUCUCAAUCAGCCACCACCAUCUUUGAGCCCAUAAAAGACUAAUCCACUUGAACUUUUAAAGAAUAUCCAAAUAAAUAUGCAGACACAUGCAAUGGAACCAUGAUUUGCGGAAAAAGCUCUAUCAGUGAGGAUAUUUUUUAGCCAUUUCUAACUUUUUAGGUUUUCCAAUCUCCUCAUUUUAUUGAAGACAACCCUUAUAUAGAUAAAUUUAGGGUAACAUAAAUGAUUUUCUAUUUUAACAAUCACCCCUUCCCCAAUUUUUAUUUUUUCAACUUAGACCUUGAUUUUUAAUUCUGUUUGUUAAACUUAACCCCAACCUCACCUUCCUAUCAGCUUCCAGGCAGUUAAAAGAAAUUCCCUCUAUCCAUUUCCCUAGACUACCCUUUAAAACUCUGUUAAUUACCCCCAUGAACCAAACAUGGAUCAAGUUGAUCCAAACAAAUCAAACCAAAGACCCUAGGCUUUGCAAACUCGGAUUGAACUUCCCCUCUUUGGAUUUCUGACUGACGGAGCCCAAAUUUAAUUCCAAAACCAACCGAAAACAAUCAAGAAACUGGGCCAACAGAGUUAUAGAAAACUCCUGAAGCCUUGAAACCAAAGAAAACAAAAAUAGAAAGAACUUUGAGCAAAAUCACACAAUAAAAUUAAAUAAACUAAAACAUGCUCACUAAAAAAAUAACUUAAAAAUGGCAUGCACACAGAGGCGAUAGAAAAAACAAGAAAAAAAGGAAAAAAUUAGAAGGAGAUGAAGAUUGAGAAUAAAACGAAAGACGAAAGAAGGAAAAUGGCCGGAAAAUACCUAGAAUGAACGGAGGGACAAUGGACUUGAAAGGAUCUUCAAAACCCUCGAUUUUGAGCCAAAAUUUGCAUUAAUCUUGUGUUCUCGUUGAGAACAGACGAAUAAAACCAAUUUCAAUCCUAAUCUUUCAUUGAAACUUGACGAUUUGGGAGAUUUGUGUUUUUUAGGGGUCUGACCGGAUUGCUUUAAUCGAAGAUUCAAAACGCUCAAAAGGGAUUCGAGGGAAACUAGUCAGGGAUUGGGAAAUGAGAGGUCUUGAGGGUUCUGUGGUGUAAAUUCGGAGGUGGGUUGAGGCGCUGCCGCCAUCGAAGAUGGUGAGGAAUUUAGGGUGGCGCUAGGGUUUGGAUCUCUGAAUAUGGACGAUGAGUGAAAUGAGAUUAAGUGAGACAAUCCUUAGGUUGUUUGGAAAAUUUUAAAUGAAUUUGGUGAGGCUUCUACAG
rnacentral:lncRNA from 1 species